GACAGAGGCCCCAAGCGUUCGGCGGAAUCACUGGGCUUAAAGCGUGUGUAGGCGGAUGUCUAAGUACCUUGUGAAAUCCCACGGCUCAACCGUGGAACUGCUUGGUAUACUGGAUGUCUUGAGCCAUCUAGGGGCUACCGGAACAAAUGGUGGAGCGGUGAAAUGCGUAGAUAUCAUUUGGAACGCCAAUGGUGAAAACAGGUAGCUGGGGAUGUGCUGACGCUGAGACACGAAAGCCAGGGGAGCGAACGGG
rnacentral:rRNA from 1 species